AUGACGGAGAAAAAAGAUAGAGGUGGAUUCGGCCUGCCAAACCUAAAACUCUACCCUUUGACGUGGAUUAAAGAUUGGUGCAACCUAAAAAAAGAAAAUAUAUUAAACAUAGAGUGCUUUGACUUGAGAAGAGGGUGGCACGCGUACAUAUGGUACGAUAAAAAACGCAUAGAAAAAACCUUUGGAAACCAUUUUAUACGUUCAUCAUUGAUUAAAGUUUGGGAAAAAUAUAAAAAAUAUAUGUACGAUAAAACCCCAUUAUGGAUUUCACCAUUGGAAGAGAACAACAGGAAACUAUUAGGCUGGUCACAAUGGCCAACAUAUAAAGACAUCCUAAUUAAGAAAAACAGCGAAUUCCAAAUCAGACCUAUAGAAGAAUUAAAAAGAAGAUAUAGUAACUUAUCGUGGUUACAAUAUGCCCAAAUUAGGGAAAAAUUUGUGUUAGACAACAAAGUGGGCUUCUGUUCCAAUGAGAAAUUUUGGGAUAAGAUUCUCCAAUCAGAUAAGAAAGAAAUAACCAAAAUCUACGAUAAACUACUAGAAUGGACAAAUGCUGCAGAAGAAGUCAAAGGAUGUAUGGUGAAAUGGGCUCAAAAUAUAGGACACUCAAUAAGCAUGACCGAAUGGGAAACACUAUGGAGGAAAAAAAUAAAAUACACCUAUGCGUGGGACUUAAAAGAAAAUUGGUUGAAAUCCUUUCAUAGGUGGUAUAUCACACCCCAAAAGUUAGGAAAAAUGUAUAAGGGAACUCAAAACUCCUGCUGGAAAUGUAAAGACCACAUUGGAUCGUACUAUCAUGUUUGGUGGACAUGUAACGAGGUUGGUAAAUUCUGGAAAAUGAUACAUACAGAAUCUCAGAAAGUAUUAGGGAAAAAAUUUCCAAUGAAACCAGAAUACUAUUUACUAAAUUUGACAGACUCAGAAACAAAAUUUAAUGCAAACGACGACAAAUUAUUUACAUAUAUUAAUACAGCUGCAAGGAUUAUCUAUGCAAAACAUUGGAAAUCACAAUUAAUUCCGGGGAAGGAAGAAUGGCUUGAGAAAAUUGAAGAUAUAAGGGACAUGGAUGAACUAACAUUUUUACUGAAGAUGCAUAGAGGACAGCCAAUAAAAAAGACGGACUGGGACCAAUAUAAAAAGUAUAUGGACAUGCAGUAA
rnacentral:lncRNA from 1 species